CAUGUUAUGCAUAUGUGGCAGUAUGGGGGGUGGUUUUUGUCUAUUGGUUCAUUACGGUUUGUUGAGUAAGCCUAACAUGGCUAGAGGUGUAUAGUAUAUAGAUCUGCCGUGCGGAGAAUCACGUUACGGAAGUACUGCCUUUUCCGGUUCCGCAGGUCGAGUGGCAUGUGGAAGAGACUUGGUGCUUGGUCCUUUUGUAGUAUGUGGGACAGUAGCUGUAUAGUUUCCUGUGACUGACAUAUCUGCAGCCCAUUCACAGCGCGUACGUUGAUUUCUCUUUGAUUUUACCGGUACUGGGAUUCCUCGCACCCUAGCGAGGAGGAUUCUGUUGCCGGGGUUACCAGAGUUUCGUUGUUCAUUGACCUACGGAGUACUGCUGUUUUGCUGCUGGCUCAACGUAGAUAAUAGUGACUGAAUCGGCGGUAUCUUCAUUAUUGUCAUGUCUUGUUUUGGUAUUGUUUCAUGUUCACGUUUUAUGGUUUAUUUUAUUGUUAUGCUAUGUUUGUUUUCCUUGUUUUUGCCAUGUGAUUUCCCAUUGCCCUCAUGUGAUCAUGUCAUGUGCUUCCCCUGUCUCAUGUGUCAUGCUCUCAUUGGUUGUCUUAGUCAUGUGAUUUCAGUUCUGUCCUGUCAUUGGUCCUUUGCCUUCAUUGUUCACAGGUGUUCCUUGUUUGUCAUUAGUCUCUUGGUACAAAUAGCCCUUAUGUUUCAUUGUUAUCUUGUCUAGCUUUGUUUUAUGUAACCUGCUAUUGGUGAGAGUCAAGUCAAGUCAAGUCAAGUCAAGUCAAGUCAAGUCAAGUCAAGUCAAGUCAAGUCAAGUCAAGUCAAGUCAAGUCUUUGUUCAUGUGCUGGAUUAUCAUUAAACUAUUGAUUAACCCUAUUGGUGAGUGUCAGUGUCUAUUGUCAAGUCAAGUCAAGCCAUGUCAAGUCAUGUCUUUGUUUUUUUUCAUGUUCGUGUUUUGGAUUAUCAUUAAACUGCACUUGGGAUCUAACUACACUCGCCUCCAGUGGACUCAUUAUGUUACAAUUAUUCAAUAUUGAUUGCGGCUGCACACGCCAUAACUGUUCGUGUUACACUGUGCGGGUUGAUUGAGAGGAGAAUUUCUGCCCCGCUAUUUUAGUGUGU